rnacentral:lncRNA from 1 species
CCAAGAUCUGGGGGGUAGUUGUUAUAUGCGAAUUUGUCAAGAUCAGCUAAAUGGGCCGAGCCCAUCAAAGGAGGUUUGUUCAGCCCAAGAAAGUCAAGAUCACUUCAGUCUCAGAGUAACCCUGUCAAAAGAUAGGGCGCGCCCUAUCUUUAGGCGCGCCCACUUGCCGAGGAAAGUUCAUUUUGUCAUAAUUUUGAAGGGCAGUGAGAAGGUACUUAAUGUUUAGGGGGACGCCCUUGAACACGAGUAGAUCUCAUUGUUAAAUUAAGAAGACCCUACCUUGUAGUCUAGGGAGUUGUCCUCCUUGGGAGGUAGAGGAUAGAGAAGAAGAC